UGGGAACGUACCCUUCGGUUCGGAAUAACCCGGGGAAACUCGGGCUAAUACCGGAUACGUCCGCAAGGAGAAAGAUUUAUCGCCGAAGGAUCGGCCCGCGUCGGAUUAGCUAGUUGGUGGGGUAACGGCCCACCAAGGCGACGAUCCGUAGCUGGUCUGAGAGGAUGAUCAGCCACACUGGGACUGAGACACGGCCCAGACUCCUACGGGAGCAG
rnacentral:rRNA from 1 species